GUCAUUUUCAGUGAUCUUUACAAUGCAAUCAUAAACAUUUGGGGUGAAAUUUCGUGCCAUAGGCACUUUAAGACAGGACGCUAUCGAAAUAGUUUUAUUACGCAUAACGCAUUGGAAUCGUAGUUCUUAAUGGUUAUCCUGUAUUUCUAUAUAAGUAGUAAUAUGGUAUUUGCUGUACGUGUUGAUGUAAUGUACUCAGGUGAAUAAGUGAUGCUUGUGUGAUGUUACUCUGAGUGUAUAUCCACACUGGCCAGGAUGAGAUUCGAAUCUACGACCUUGGAAUACUAGCCCAAUGCUCUGCCAACUACUGAGCUACGCGGUCAGGUCGGUUCGAGUAUGCG